CCUACGGGAGGCAGCAGUGGGGAAUUUUGGACAAUGGGCGCAAGCCUGAUCCAGCAAUGCCGCGUGAGUGAAGAAGGCCUUCGGGUUGUAAAGCUCUUUUGUCAGGGAAGAAACGGUUGAGGCUAAUAUCCUCGGCUAAUGACGGUACCUGAAGAAUAAGCACCGGCUAACUACGUGCCAGCAGCCGCGGUAAUACGUAGGGUGCAAGCGUUAAUCGGAAUUACUGGGCGUAAAGCGUGCGCAGGCGGUUUUGUAAGUCUGUCGUGAAAGCCCCGGGCUUAACCUGGGAAUUGCGAUGGAGACUGCAAGGCUUGAAUCUGGCAGAGGGGGGGUAGAAUUCCACGUGUAGCAGUGAAAUGCGUAGAGAUGUGGAGGAACACCGAUGGCGAAGGCAGCCCCCUGGGUCAAGAUUGACGCUCAUGCACGAAAGCGUGGGGGAGCAAACAGGAUUAGAUACCCUGGUAGUCCACGCCCUAAACGAUGUCUACUAGUUGUCGGGUUCUUAAUUGACUUGGUAACGCAGCUAACGCGUGAAGUAGACCGCCUGGGGAGUACGGUCGCGAGAUUAAAACGUUAAAUGAAUUGA
rnacentral:rRNA from 1 species